ACUUUCACCAAAAAAAUAUAUCCCUUUCUUCCAGGCGCAUAAACUUUUUCCACGUUCUCCAUCUUCCUUCCUUCCUCCCUUCUUCCACACUCCACGGUUAAGGAUCGCUUUCCUGCAAUCCCAAUCCGAAUUCAAAAGUUCAUACUGAAUUGAAGAUGAUCAAUCCCAAUCCGAAUUUAAGAGUCCAAUCGCAAUCCCUCAAUCCCCUCAAUCCGAAAUUUUACAAAUCCAAAAUAAAAGAGUUCCCUUCAAUCCAAAUCCUUUUUUUUUUUUCUCGUUUUAGCUUCUUCAACCUUUAUCGGCGGCGACUUAUUAUCUGGCAAACAUAUUUCCCGGCUGCGCGUGGUUGAAUUAUCAAUUGUUUCUUGUUGUCUCAUCGAUUGUAUUUCCGUCUUCCUUGGUGAACCUCAGGUGCAAAUUGGUUCACGUUUGAUUACGUUUUCGGGAAUGGAGGAACGCCAUGUUCUCGAAUUUUUGACGAAUCUGCUACCCCUUUGGUUGAUGCUUUGUGCAAGAGAUAUAAUGGAACAAUCCUCUCUUAUGGACAGGAAAAAUAUAAGCAGAUCCUACAGGUCAGGGUAAAUGUUUUUAAACCAUUAAAAUAAGCUUCAAGUUAUUCUAAUGAGAAUAAGAGAUAGUUAACUCGGGGAAGAUGGUUUCAGACGAGAUCAUAGUGGAUCUGUUGUCCAAGCGUCUUGAACCUGGAGAAGUUAAAGGUGAACCUGGAUACAUUAUUAAUGAAUUUCCUCGUACAAUUAGACAGUCGGGAAGAAGCAGUGGAAAGCUCAAUUUGUUGCAAUUGGGUUGGCUUGUGUCCUAGCAGUUCUUGCAGGAUCAUCCUGUGUUUUUUAAUUUUUAUUAGAGAAGAAGAAUGCAAGGUAAGAGUUUCAAUUUGCUUGUUGUUCAUAUAUUUCUUCUUUCGGGUUAUAUAGAAGCUUCGUAAUGUGCAAACUACAGAUUUUUGAGGAAUGGACAGUCCCUUGUUUGAUUUGGCUAGAAUACAAGCUGCCACAGAUAACUUCUCUGAGAAACAUAAGCUAGGAGAAGGUGGUUUUUGCCCUGUCUUCAAGGUAAGAAUUUGAAAGAACUGUUAAGGUUAAUCUUUGUGUUCAUGAUCUUUAUGGGAUGUCCUACAAAACGAAACCAAAGUUGUUGUCAAACGGCUUUCCAACACAUCUGAUCAAGGAACGAAUGAAUUUAAAAAUGAAGUUCUGCUAAUCAUGAAGCUUCAACACAAGAAUCUGGUCAGGCUGUUGAGAUUUUGUGUAGAGGGAGAUGAUCGAAAGGCUACUCAUCUAUGAACUUAUGACUUCUGGCCGCUUAGAUUCAUGGCUUUAUGAUCCAUAUAACAGUGCACAAAUGACAUGGAGGAAACAACUUGACAUCAUCAAUGGGAUUGCUUAUGGAGUCCUGUGUCUGCACAAGGAUUCAUACUAAAAGUCAUACACCGAGACUUAAAGACUAGCAAUAUACUGUUGGACUCAGACCUGAAUCCUAAGAUUUCAGACUUUGAAAAUGCCAGAAUCUAUGGAACUGAAACUGAAGAAAGCAUUGUCACUCCUACUGUACUUUGAUGAUCGGAAUGUUGCAAAUUAUGAUCUAGAACAAAUUGAUGAAGUCUUAUCUCAAUGGACGGGUCAUGUUCUUAUCGUGUGAAUAUUGUGGUGGAUUAAUUAUGUUUUUCGACUAUAAAUUGUCUACAAUGUUCUAAUUUUAGUGUGUUAAUUUGAAAUUAAAAGAAGUACUUUAUGACACAAAUACUUCUUUCUUUUUCUAUUGUUUUUUUUGUAGUGUGUUGACAAUAUUGCACAUGAUUUUAAGCUAUGAGACAUCUAGAUGUUUAUUUGAUAUGAUAGAAAUGAAAUUGGAUGUUAUAUUUUAAUUUGUAUAUAUUCAAUUCUUUUAAUA